UUACACUCAAAUGGCCUUAUACGAGCAUCUUCUUAAUGAACCUGGGCAGUGACCCCGGUUGGGUGAGUUAGGUGUUAGGUGGGAUGGAGCAGUGAGUGGAGAUUGAGGCACCUCCUGGGUCCUUUCAGAGGCUCUAGGAAGCAAAGGGCUUCACCUUGGCAUCACCUUGAGGGAGCUGUGUCUCUGCAGUUCUAAUAUCAACACCAGGACCUGUGCAGUUUAAUCAAGCAAAACUAGUUUUAAUGAAUGAACUGAUUUGUUUUUAAACUGUUCUGAAACCUACCUUUUUACAAACUUUAAGCACAAAAGAUUUUUGCCUGAACAUAACAUUUUUGUUCCUCGUUUUUUAAAGGAUUCUGUUGUUAAAAUUUCCACAUAUGUAUAAACAAU
rnacentral:lncRNA from 1 species